AUACACUGACGCGUUCUUGUUUAUGACCUAGUCCUGUUUAUGACUGCGCUCAAUUCAGCGAGGUUGUUUCAUUUAGCUAUGCUGAAAUUACAUUAGAGGCAUAAACCCUCAGAGAAGGUAGAUGAAAAGGAGCGCAACUCAUUUUCUCAUGUUUAACAGGAAUAUGAGACUAGGUCUGGAAAGUACUAUCCGGCACCAAGGGCUAGGAGGUAGAAAGAAGUUCUGUGGACUUCUGGAGGAAGACAGUACCUGUAACAAAGACAGCGACAACUUCACCUCACGGGGGGAAGCUGGGGACAGUCAACAAGCUUUAACAGAAAAAAUUUUGAAAUAGGAAACCUUUUAAAGAAAAUAUUAGGAAAACAAGGAUAAAACCAAAAUUUUUCUAAUUGAAGCUGUCAUAAAUUUCCCUUGAAAAUGAUCAAAUUAGCAAAUUUAUCAUCAAAUAAUAUUCAUCAAUGCCAUCAACAGUGCAACAAAACAGGGCACCGGAAAGCUGAGGUUACCAACCAAAUAACUUAGCUGCAUUACAGGCCUAGGAAAUGAAUUUACCUACACAGAAAGCAGAAGGAAUAUAGUGGCUACUGGAGUAUUCCUCUCUCCCUCUAGAAGUGGAACAGGAAAAGUUUUUAAUCCAGGCAAGCUACGUUUUGAUCCAUUCAUCCUAGAGGUAGCAUAGAAUCUUCUGUCCACCAGAGGGCACUGUGCAAACAGUAGGCUCUUCUCAGCUAAAAGCGCUUUACCAGGAAGUCCCUUUUCACACAUGGCGUUUGUAUUCUCAGGGUUCAUUUUGUAGGACUUCUGUCUAUCCCAGAGUACUCUCACUCUGUGGACUCAGACUUUGUCUGGGACCCAUCUAAAACUGUUCUUCCUCUGUAUUCUGUAUCAGCUGCCACCACUAUGCACCAAUCACCCAGAACCUUUCCCCCAUAUCCAACCAUUAAGUCUUGCCAAUUUUCUCACUAAAUAUUUCUCAAAUUUGCCCCUCUAUUCCCUCUCUACCUUCCCUGCCCUUGUGAGGCCUGUA